CUUUGCAUUUGUGUAAAUAGUCACAUAAAGUGUGGGACUUGGGACAUAUGUUCACAGUCUCCUGCUGAGCAGUAACAUUGCCAGCAUCUGCUUCAUGACUAAUGAAAGAAAUAAUGCAGCUUGGCAGCACAGUUAUCAGCAGAUUGUCAGACAGAUCUCACUGACAUAAGAGCAGCUAUGCUGAUUUACACCAAAAGCCAGAUCAAUGCUAAUAUGAAGAGGGCCCCAGAAGAUGGAUGUUGCUGACAGAAAACCUUGAAAUUCCAGAGGGACUAAACCCUUUACCUGGACUGUACCAGUAGAAAUGGAGCAAGAACCACAAGCCUUGGGAUCAUCCAUUAAACUCACAGAAUUCCACCAACUGAUCAAUAUCUGUCCUUUCACCUUGCCCUCCCUCCUUCCUUCUGAGCCCAUCUGGCUAACAGGUCAGGACUGAGGAUGUCUAUGUAUUAAACCACUGAAGCUGAGAGACUAUUUGCCAACUCUGGAGGUUUAGUUCCCAUCUGAAGCACCUGCUGCUGGCCCUGGCUCACAGGCAGCUGAAUCCACUGCCGGUGGCCCCUGAUUCACCUUUUCACUAUUUGUGUUUUGUUAGCGUCAUUGGAAGGGUAUGCAAGGAGCAUGGCUUGUCUCCCUCCUACACAGGGCUUUCUGGGAGCUAAUGCUCCUAUCCUUCCCCACCAGGAUGGCUCUUGCUGCCGGCUUGCAAAGCUCUUACUGUGGCCUAAGAGUGGCAUCUAGUGCUCAGCUGCUGCACUACCCUUCAUCAACACAGCUGCACCACUCUACCUGUUCUCACACAGGUUAUUCCACCUGCUGCCCUAAAACCACAGCCAAGGACUCUGUCUUGGACAACGAGCAAAAUAAUUGGGCUGCUUCAAGGGAAUUAGUGUACUUUCCUCAUUAACUGCAGGAUUCAUUGAUUCCAUGGGGAGGAAUCAGUAAUACAGUGAAAUAAUGAGUAUUCUUAUCCUAGUUAACCAGGCCAUGCUCUAUGAAGAGGAUAACAUCUAUAUAGCCCUGACUAGAAGACGGCAAGCUCCAUUUAACAUUUACCCUCUCCUGUACUCUAUUUAAAGUGUUUUUACUAACAUGUACCCAUGGAAACCAGAUCAAAAGUACUAAGCAUUUCCAAAGGCCCUGUCUGUUCUCAGACACUGCAACUUUCAUUUACUACUGCUUAGAAUAAUUUUGUCUCCCAACCCCAAUUUUCUGAGCUCAUUCUUCCUCUUCUUCUACGUGCCUGUCAAGUCUGCAAAGCAGAACCCUUUCAGAUCAAGGCAUCAAAGGUAGACAAGGAACCAGAUACACCCUGUGUCCUUUCUCCACAUCCAAGGAAUAUUUUGGCCAAAAAUACCAGCCAGCAGACUCCAAAACUCACAAAUUGCCUGGAGCUCUUGAGGGAAUUCCUGAAGGCAGCAUUCAUUUUUUUGUUGCAUGAUUUACUCAAAUA